AGCUUUGCACAGUGGCAGUAUCAUAGCCAAUGAGGUUUAUCCGAGGCACGAUUAUUGCUAAUUGAAACCUUAAAUCCCGACUUC
rnacentral:snRNA from 1 species